rnacentral:rRNA from 1 species
GAGUUUGAUCCUGGCUCAGAACAAACGCUGGCGGCGUGUCUUAAGCAUGCAAGUCGAGCGGCAAGGGCAGCAAUGCCCCUAGAGCGGCGGACUGGUGAGUAACGCGUGGGUGAUCUACCUUGGGCAUGGGGAUAGCCAUUAGAAAUAGUGGGUAAUACCGAAUACGUUCGUUACCGUGAGGGUAACGAGGAAAGGUGCUACGGCACCGGCCUGGAGAUGAGCUUGCGUCUGAUUAGCUAGUUGGUGAGGUAAUGGCUCACCAAGGCGAUGAUCGGUAGCCGGCCUGAGAGGGUGUACGGCCACACUGGGACUGAGAUACGGCCCAGACUCCUACGGGAGGCAGCAGCUAAGAAUAUUCCGCAAUGGACGAAAGUCUGACGGAGCGACGCCGCGUGGAUGAUGAAGGCCGAAAGGUUGUAAAGUCCUUUUGCUGGGGAAGAAUAAGCGUGGGAGGGAAUGCCCGCGUGAUGACAUGAACCGGCGAAUAAGCCCCGGCUAACUACGUGCCAGCAGCCGCGGUAACACGUAGGGGGCGAGCGUUGUUCGGAAUUACUGGGCGUAAAGGGCAUGUAGGCGGCUUUGUAAGCUUGGCGUGAAAUUCCACGGCUUACCCGUGGGAAUGCGUUGAGAACUGCGAGGCUUGAGUGACGGAGAG